GGCAUAGUUCUUUCUCCAGUCAUCGGAGACAAUUAUAUACAGACUCAUCAGCAGAAUGCAUUCCCAUUUUUAAAGCACUGACUUUAUAAGUACAAAAGGCCCCAAAGGACAGUAUCAAUGGUUAUUGACUUAAAACCACUGACACAGCAAAUGAAAUUCAUAUGUUAAGAAGAAUGGGUGAGACACACUAGAACAAGGUUUUUCACAACAGGGACCUAGCUGAGACAGGGGGACAGAGAUGUGAGAAGCUACUCACAGCAGAUCUCACCUCUCUGACCUAUGGGCAGAGGCCAAGGGGCUCUUGCUACACCUGUGGACAGGAUGGACACUGGUCGAAGGACUGUCCUUUGAAGGGAAGAUCGCCCACGACUCCGUCCAGCCUGUGGCCGACAGGGACACUGGAGACGGCAGUGCCCCACCAAACAGAGACCCCAGCAACCCCAGAGGCACAUUCCUGACCUCCAGACUCCUGAGAACUAGGAAUAAGGCUGCCCUAGGGUUUGCUCGCUCCCAGUUUCCAUCACCAUGGCCAAACCCAGGUGUAUUCUCGAGGUUGAAGGUAAGAAAGUUACCUUCCUAAUUGAUACAGGAGCUACAUAUUCUGUUCUCCAAACUCAUAAUGGUCCUACAUUCCAUUCGCAGCAUAAGGUAAUAGGAGUUGGGGAAAAGAUACUUAGCUGUAGAGAAAAGGCACCACUAAUAUGUGCCCAUGAAAAUAAAUUAUUCCAACAUA